rnacentral:rRNA from 1 species
UACGGGGGGGGCAAGCGUUGUUCGGAAUUACUGGGCGUAAAGGGCUCGUAGGCGGCCAACUAAGUCAAACGUGAAAUCCCUCGGCUUAACCGGGGAACUGCGUCUGAUACUGGAUGGCUUGAGUUUGGGAGAGGGAUGCGGAAUUCCAGGUGUAGCGGUGAAAUGCGUAGAUAUCUGGAGGAACACCGGUGGCGAAGGCGCUCUGCUAGGCCGUAACUGACACUGAGGGACGAAAGCUAGGGGAGCGAAUGGG